CCACGUCGGACUAUAAAAUCGUCCAAUAAGAGGUCUCUAUUUUGACAUGUCACUAUGGCUGUGGAUUAUUCAUUUACGGAAUGGGCUGCAAUUCAUUUACGGUAAACUUAAUUAUGAUGAGCCCAUAAGCCCACUCCAACACUAACCCUAAGAUGUUGUCGUUGCUACAUGUUUCCUUCCCUACAACUCAGUCGUCUCAACUUCCCUUGGUUCUCUCCUUCCUUGCAACUUCAGAGUAAAUGAAAACCUUAUGACUAUUAAAUGGAAGAUUUCGUAAUCGUAUAGAUAUGUAUUUAGUUCGAUUGGUAACGUUCAUGCCGAAGAUGAACGGUUUGGAACUCCUAUAUAAAACGAAAUCGAAAACCGCUACUCUUCCAUUUCAUUUUGCGGUAUCAGAUCCCAGAGAGCCGCUUUAUUUGCCUGAAGGGUCUGUCUACUUUCAGAUUAGAAACCCAGAGCCGAUUGUAACUGAUGGAAACUUCACGCCUCUUCCCUCGCCGAUUCUGCCGGCGUAAGAGAAAUGCAAGAGGCCGUCAUCGUGGUGUUUGAUCGCUGUGUGAUAAGAAGGUCCACUGACUAAGACGAGGAAGACAACUUGAUGGUAAAAUGGAAAUGUUGCACGAGAUCCCUUAGGAGACUUUCAGCCAAAGGCGUUUAAUUUUUGAGUUUUAUGUGGACGUUUUAGUUUAAAUCAAGAGAAUCUAAAUCCUUCCGAUCACUAUGAAUCCAUGCUUUGGUAAGUCUUUUCUGGCUCCCUCUGUGUGUGUUUAUAAUAAUUUAUAGACAUUUUCAUAAUUUUUGAAGAUAUUUUUGAUGUAUUUUUCAUGUAGCAGUUUAUAAGAGUUCCUCUAAUAUAUGUUGAAGACAGAUGGAUAUUUGUGUUUGCUGUUUAGAUGAGCGACUAGCCGACUACGACACCGUACGCGUGAAGUUCUGGUGAUCUAAUUCCAGUUCACGUUAACUUAGCGGAGGAGAGAGCUUUGGAGAAGCUGAUGCUCUGCAACGGUGACACAUGGCAGGAGAAGUUGAGGAGGGGUUCGUUUAACUCGCUCCACCGAGUUUUCUCGAGUCAGUUGCCCCAGAGACGUAUUGGCCCCAGAGACGUUUGGCGCUAUGUCGGUCGUCCACAUCCUCUUCCCAACUCAUAUAAUCGUUGCUGAUUGCACAAAUCCAUAACCUCUCUUUGACAGGGAAAACUGUGCCACUUUUGUUCA